rnacentral:rRNA from 1 species
AUUGAACGCUGGCGGCAUGCCUUACACAUGCAAGUCGAACGGCAGCAUGAUCUAGCUUGCUAGAUUGAUGGCGAGUGGCGAACGGGUGAGUAAUACAUCGGAACGUGCCCUGUAGUGGGGGAUAACUAGUCGAAAGAUUAGCUAAUACCGCAUACGACCUGAGGGUGAAAGUGGGGGACCGCAAGGCCUCAUGCUAUAGGAGCGGCCGAUGUCUGAUUAGCUAGUUGGUGAGGUAAAGGCUCACCAAGGCGACGAUCAGUAGCUGGUCUGAGAGGACGAUCAGCGACACUGGGACUGAGACACGGCCCGGACUCCUACGGGAGGCAGCAGUGGGGAAUUUUGGACAAUGGGGGCAACCCUGAUCCAGCAAUGCCGCGUGUGUGAAGAAGGCCUUCGGGUUGUAAAGCACUUUUGUCCGGAAAGAAAUCGCACUUACUAAUAUUAGGUGUGGAUGACGGUACCGGAAGAAUAAGGACCGGCUAACUACGUGCCAGCAGCCGCCGUAAGAC